GACGAACGCUGGCGGCGUGCUUAACACAUGCAAGUCGAACGGAAAGGCCCUGCUUUUGUGGGGUGCUCGAGUGGCGAACGGGUGAGUAACACGUGUGUAACCUGCCCUUGACUUUGGGAUAACUUCAGGAAACUGGGGCUAAUACCGGAUAGGAGCUCCCGCUGCAUGGUGGGGGUUGGAAAGUUUCGGCGGUUGGGGAUGGACUAGCGGCUUAUCAGCUUGUUGGUGGGGGAGGGGCUUACCAAGGCUUUGACGGAUAGCCGGCCUGAGAGGGGGACCGGCCACAUUAGGCCUGAGGUACGGCGCAGACGGCUACGGGGGGCAGCAGGGGGGAAUAUUGCACAAUGGGCGGAAGCCUGAUGCAGCAACGCCGCGUUCGUGAUGACGGUCUGUGGGGUGUAAACCGCUGUCGCCUGUGACGAAGCGUGAGUGACGGUAAUGGGUGAAGAAGCACCGGCUAACUACGUG
rnacentral:rRNA from 1 species